GGCAAUCUUAGGGUCGUUAUGGUUGGAGAAGAGCUGUGGGAUCGUCCAGCCCGACUCAACAACCCCCCCCCCCCAUUACUGCAUCUGCGGGCAGUGGAAAAGACCCCUCCCAAUGGGCGCUGGUUGGGGGCCCGUGGGUGGGCUGGGCCACCUCGGUGGUCUUUUCCAACCACAGCGAUGCUGGGGAUGGAGGUGAUGGGGGGGUGGGUCGGGGUGUCCCCGCGGGUCUCAUCCAACCAUAAGGAUGUGUUGGUGCCCCGGACCCCCCCCGCGCAGGAGGUGGUGUCCCAGUGCAGGAAGCUGACCAGGAAGAACCGGGAGCAGCUGUCGGAGCUGAUGUGCCUGGACAAGCAGAAGGGGCUCAAAUCGCUCAGCAAGGAGAAGCGGCAGAAGCUGGAGGCGUACCAACACCUCUUCUACCUGCUGCAGACGCAGCCCACCUACCUGGCCCGGCUGCUGUUCCAGGUGCCCCAGAACAAAUCCACCGCCUUCCUGCAGCCCGUCGUCUUCACGCUGUACAGCUACGCCUCCCACCCGCGGGAGGGGUAUCUGCUGCUGCAGCUCUUCAAGGCGGCCCUGCAGGAGGAGAUCAGGUGCAGAGUGGAGCGCAUCCACGACGUCCUGACGGGGAACGCCGCCGUCAUCCGAAUGGUGGUCGGCUUCUACCGCAGCGCCCGCGGGCGGAGCGCACUGCGCCGCAUCCUGGGCCGCCCGGUGCGGGAGGUGCUGCGGGACGCCACCCUCAGCAUCCGCACCGACCCCGUGGACAUCUACAAGGCGUGGGUCAACCAGGCCGAGUCGCAGAGCGGGCAGAGG
rnacentral:lncRNA from 1 species